GAUGAACGCUAGCUACAGGCUUAACACAUGCAAGUCGAGGGGAAACGAUAGAGAAAGCUUGCUUUUUCUAGGCGUCGACCGGCGCACGGGUGAGUAACGCGUAUCCAACCUGCCCACCACUUGGGGAUAACCUUGCGAAAGUAAGACUAAUACCCAAUGACGUCUCUAGAAGACAUCUGAAAGAGAUUAAAGAUUUAUCGGUGAUGGAUGGGGAUGCGUCUGAUUAGCUUGUUGGCGGGGUAACGGCCCACCAAGGCGACGAUCAGUAGGGGUUCUGAGAGGAAGGUCCCCCACAUUGGAACUGAGACACGGUCCAAAACUCCUACGGGAGGCAGCAGUGAGGAAUAUUGGUCAAUGGACGANAGUCUGAACCAGCCAAGUAGCGUGCAGGAUGACGGCCCUAUGGGUUGUAAACUGCUUUUAUAAGGGAAUAAAGUGAGUCUCGUGAGACUUUUUGCAUGUACCUUAUGAAUAAGGACCGGCUAAUUCCGUGCCAGCAGCCGA
rnacentral:rRNA from 1 species